GACUCAGACUGCAGUAACAUGCAAAAAUCAAAACUUCAAAAGAAGGAGGAAAUCGAACUGAUGUGUUUCUUGGCGAGGCAUCACAGACCUCCAGGAAAAUCUGUGCCCUUCCAAGACACCAUCUAACCACAAAGGUACUGAUCAGGUACUGACCACUAUGCCCCACAGCUUGUGCUACCUUGAGACUUAGAAGCGCAAAGGAAAGCAGCGCAUCUUUCACCUUGUGCAUGGCCUUAAGACUAACCCUGGUACUGCAUUCUUAUGUAACUUUAGACAGUAUCCUUUAUACACAAAUGUAGUUGUAAAGUCUUGAUCCUCCAUGCACAGACACACACCUUAGUUUUGGCAUUUCUUAAUUCUGAGUUCCUGAUGUACAAAAGAUCUGGCAUUAUAU
rnacentral:lncRNA from 1 species